rnacentral:rRNA from 1 species
UACGUAGGGGGCAAGCGUUGUCCGGAAUUAUUGGGCGUAAAGAGCGUGUAGGCGGUCCGGUAAGUCAGCUGUGAAAGUCAAGGGCUCAACCCUUGAAAGCCGGUUGAUACUGUCGGGCUAGAGUCCGGAAGAGGCGAGUGGAAUUCCCGGUGUAGCGGUGAAAUGCGCAGAUAUCGGGAGGAACACCAAUGGCGAAGGCAGCUCGCUGGGACGGUACUGACGCUGAGGCACGAAAGCGUGGGUAGCAAACAGG